GUAGUUGUGACCGAGUGGUUAAGGUGAUGGACUAGCAGUCCAUUGGGGUCUUCCCCGUGCAGGUUCAAAUCCUGCUAACUAUG